CCAAACCACAAUUCCCUAUCUUCUAAUUCAUAUAUUCCAAACCACAAUUCUCACUUUUACUUAUUCAUAAAACAAACUCCCACAUUUUCUUAUUCACAAAACAAACUCCCACAUUACCUUAUUCAUAAAACAAACUCUCACAUUACCUUAUUCAUAAAACAAACUACACAAAAUCGAGUAUAUUUCUUCUUUUUCUUUUUUUUUCUAGUUUUAACAGUACGAGGUGUUUACGACGAUUUUGGUUACGUGGUUUUUACGACGAUUCCGUCCUACGUGGAAUUAAAGUGGACCGCGUUCAUCAUUUAUUUUACGUGGUAUUUACGACGAAUCUCUCCUACGUGGUAUUUACGACGAAUUUGUCCUACGUGGUAUUUACGACGAAUCUCUCCUACGUGGAAUAAACGAGGAAUUCGUCGUAAGUUCGACGUCAACAUACGAGGAAUUAACGAGUAUUCCGUUUAAAUCCCUAAAAUCCGAAACCCCAAACCCCAAACCCCAUAUUCCUUAUCUUCUACUUCACAUAUUCCAAACCCUAUCUUUAUUUUCAUUCCAAACCACAAUUCCCUAUCUUCUAAUUCAUAUAUUCCAAACCACAAUUCUCACUUUUACUUAUUCAUAAAACAAACUCCCACAUUUUCUUAUUCACAAAACAAACUCCCACAUUACCUUAUUCAUAAAACAAACUCUCACAUUACCUUAUUCAUAAAAUAAACUACACAAAAUCGAGUAUAUUUCUUUUUUUUCUUUUUUUUUCUAGUUUUUACAGUACGAGGUGUUUACGACGAUUUUGGUUACGUGGUUUUUACGACGAUUCCGUCCUACGUGGAAUUAAAGUGGACCGCGUUCAUCAUUUAUUUUACGUGGUAUUUACGACGAAUCUCUCCUACGUGGUAUUUACGACGAAUUUGUCCUACGUGGUAUUUACGACGAAUCUCUCCUACGUGGAAUAAACGAGAAAUUUGUCGUAAGUUCGACGUCAACAUACGAGGAAUUAACGAGUAUUCCGUUUAAAUCCCUAAAAUCCGAAACCCCAAACCCCAAACCCCAUAUUCCUUAUCUUCUACUUCAUAUAUUCCAAACUCUAUCUUUAUUUUCAUUCCAAACCACAAUUCCUUAUCUUCUAAUUCAUAUAUUCCAAACCACAAUUCCCACUUUUACUUAUUCAUAAAACAAACUCCCACAUUUUCUUAUUCACAAAACAAAC
rnacentral:lncRNA from 1 species